UCUCUCUUGCUCAAAAAUAAACAUUAAAAAAAUAAAUAAAUAUGCUAUAUAUAAAGGUGUUUUUACUGAUACACCCUAUUGGUAGAUAUAUGCUCUGGGAUUUUUUCUUGUUCAGCUCAUCCUGAAUUGAAUGGUGUCAUCAAUAUUUUCUUAUUGUGAUUUACUUACAAUGUUUAGGUGGAGGGAUAACACUAGGGUGACGUCUUUGCUGUAGAAUGAAGAUUUUCUUUCUGUAGGGCUAAUUGGUCCACAGAUAGAACAGAUGAUUAGCCUCAUUCAUAUUCUAAGAAGCAGUUGGCUAAAUUAAACCCCUUGGAUCCCCCAUCAAACUUCAUGGACUACUGACCGGCUGGAUGCUAAUGUUUUGAGCACCUAUUCCAUUCCAGGCACUGUUCAUAACAGUGAACGAGACAGACAAAAAGCCCUGUCCAUUGGACUUCCAUUCUCAUGGGAGAAGACAGAUCAUAAAUAAGAUGAAUAAAUUAGGUAGAAUAUUAAAAGACAGUAAGGACUACAGGGAGAAAGUGAAACAGAGAGGGCAGAUGCAGGCUAGUAUAGGAGAGUUGUAAUUUUAAAUAGGGAGGCCAGAGGUGACCUUCCUAAGAAGAUGGGAUUUGAACACAGAUUUGAAGGAAGUGAGGAAGUGAGCCCUGGGGUACGUGGGGAAAAACAGUGCAGGUAAAGACAAGGACCAGUGGAAAGGCCUGGGAGUGGGACCAUGCCUGGCAUCUUCCUGGAAGAGCGGGGCCGACAAGAAGGGUGAGCCAAGGAAAGAGCACAAGAAACAAAGUUAGAGGGAUAAGGUUAGAAUGGAUCUCAGAGGGCCUCCUAGACCCUCAGAAAGAUUUUGCAUUUUACUUGCAGGACAUGGGUAGGAGGGGAUGUGGGCAGGGAAGAUCAGGAUCUCACUUAGGGUCUAAUGAGAGCAUCUGAAGGGGGAACUGAUGGAGGAGGGCAAAGCUGGAGGCCAAGGGAUCAUUUACAAGGCGAAUGUAACCGUCUGCAUGAAAAGAAUGUUCAACUAUCUUUAAUGUUUCUCUAGUUACCACAGUUAAGAGCUUUAGUUCACCUCCCUCAUGGAGAAAGCUACGGUCAAGCAUUGAGAAGUCAUACAAAGCUCUCCCUGUGACUCCCUUCUUUCCACUUGCCCCUGUCACAGCAAUGGCCACAGGGACAGCUUCGAUCAAACGCUGUGACAUUUUGGUAAAUAUGUAAUUAUACAUGCCGCAUCUUCAUAUGUUCUUUUCAGUGACCAAUUAAUAUCAACCAGAUGUGUGGCGAGCCAGAGUACGCUCUGGAGGUUGUCCUGAGAAAGUAAAGACAUAGUGAUUUAGCGAGUGCACCUGCAGCUCUUGCUGCUGUAUGCUGCUUUUGCUGCAGCUUUGACGUCAGCUGCUUAAAGGGAAGCCUCUGCUUCCAAAAUCCUCUCUUGUUGAUUAAGUAGAGGAACUCUGGGUCAACGAGAUCAUCUAAUCACCUCAUUGCAAAGCACAGAGCAUCAGGAAAUGGCAUCUUCCUAUAAGAGGUCACUAAACCCCACCUGGUGUUUAACAUGAUCUGCUUGCUUUUUUGAGAGCUUGAGGCAAUCACGUCUGGUUAUUUGUGACAGUAAAGACUCAGAAAAUGUAAGAACAGGUAAGAGUAUUUGGAAGGUUGUGAGUAAAAAUGUAACCUUGCUCUAUUCUCUCAAUAAGCCAAGAAACAGGAGUUUUCACUUUAAGCAAGAUCAUGUGCAUAAGACAUUUAAAACAAAGAUGAACACACAUGGCAUUAUUAAGUCAACAAAUAGUUAAAAAAAAAAGGAAUGGAAAUCUUGGGAUUUAAAUUAUUUAUGAAAAUAAUCCAAAACCAUAGCCAAACAAAGCACUACACGUGGCUGAGAUCAAAAGUGUGUUGUUUUCUUUUUAAUUUCCUUGUUUUGUUGCUUAAGUGCUGAGUGGAAAUUUACUUGAUAAUUGGUAGAAUAUGCAUAGUUAGAACAUUCUUCUUAAAGAUGAAAAGUUCAACUACUCUUGAGGAUAUUGGCAAUAAUUCCAUCCCACCUUGAGGCUUGAUAUUUUUCAGAUUUUAGUUAUGUCCACCCAAAUUAUUGCAACCAGAUUAUACUAUGAAAUGUUUACUUUUAUUAUUGUUAUUAUCAUUAUUAUUAUUAUUUUAUUCAUAAAGAUUUUGUUAACCCAUCAGUCAUAUUUCAUUAUCACUGGUCGUUCUCUUGAAUAAAGGCAUCCAAUCCCGAUUUUGUCGAAUCAUACAAUAUGUAUGGUGGAAUAAUUUAUGCACCUAGCAAGGCAGACAAUUCAGGUUGUUCUUCUCUUGGUCAGAGAAACCUGGGCUUCCUCCUUUCAUUAAUAGGCCAAGGAUAUUUUGACAAUGGAAUUUUGAUAGGUCCAAAAGAGACCUUGGUAGUUUAAGCCACAGGAGAAAACAUACCCACAUAUAGAAAAAUUGUAAGUGGAGAUUAUAGAAUAUGCAUUCUCUUAGGGUAGGAAAGUUAGAGUUCUCUUCAGUGCUGGUUAUUCCUCUUCUUGACGUAAUCAUGGAUCCUGAGCCUACUUGCCUCUGCUGAAUUUCUGUACUUCCCUCAGCAGAAAUCACUUAGAUCCUGUGUUCUUCCAUUUCCUCUUCGAAUAAAACAAAAUGAUAGCAUUUUCUUCCACAAAUAUGAAGGGUGAUAUAAAUGAUAAUGUCUUAUUUUUUAAUCUUUAGACAAGACAAAUGCCUUGAAGGUAAGAAAACACCUAUUUCUUUCUUUCAUUUUUAAGAAAAAAAAGGAUAAGUUAAUUUCAUUUGAAGAAAGCCAGAUGUCCUCAAGAUAGGUCCUGUCUGCCAACAGAGUUCUUAAAAAUCCUCUGAUGAGUCAAAAUUCCAAGGUUCUUUCCCAUGUUGGCGGUCAGAGUGAUAAGGCCUCUCCCGCUAAAAUGUUUCUAUAAUACUCUCAAUGGUCAGUUGAUUCCCUGUAUCCAGAUCUUAUCCCAAUAAGUCACUUUAGUUCCCACUGAUUCCUGAGCAAAGCCAUUAACUAAACAACGAAGAGAACAGAAUUUGUAUGAAUGCCAAUUGAUUCAAAUACUAAUUGGUAAUAUCUGUGUGCAGUAGUUUCCUUCAAUAUAUGUUAUAUUAUACUUAACUGCUCUCCUGUCCAGGAUAUCGGUAUUAUGCAUUUGUACAACAUUUGUUACACUUUGUUUAAUUAUCUUUUAUAGAUUACCGAUAGAGCAUUUAAAAGAAAUGAAUGAAAAGUGUGUGCAGAGUGCUGCUCUAUAACUGAAUGGGUCACUUGGAAUUCAUUUUGUCUACAUCCUGGACUGCACGUAGGGAGACAAAAAAAAACCGCCUGGGAUUGGAGAGGAGGAAUGUGGCAGGGCAUGGGAAUCGCAGUGUCCUGGUGGUCACCGAGCAUAUUUUGGCUUGUCUUAAAACAAGCAAGCACCGUUGGACCUUUGGAAUCCUAACAAGUGAAGAAAUAUUAUUUCCUUCCUGACUCGCUGAAAAUUCAAGUAGAGAAGACCGUGAAGAAUCUGGGCAAUAUUUCUCAUAUUUAGUUCUGUAAGAUUUUAUUUAGUUGUGCUCUGACCCUGGGUACUCUUGAGAGCUAAGAGAUAUAGAAAAUGUCUUUUGGAGUUUGAGAACCGGGGUUCAAAAUCCUAAUCCUGUCUCCUUUUAUCCAUAGGAUUUGGGCAAGUUACUUAAGGUCUAUCACCAUUUUCUUACCUGUAAAAUGGACUUAAUAAUAGUAUCUACCUGAAAGCAUUAUUGGAAGGAGUAAAUGAAUACUUCAUCUAUAGAACAAUGUCUGUCACAAGAUAAGAAAUUUCAUUCUUAUUAUAGCCCCAUCAGUUGAUAUGUAUUACAGCAUCUAGGACUCUGAUAUGUAAAUUUUACUUAGACACUUUUAUUCCUUUGUAUGUUUUUAAGAGUAAUGCCUGGAGACACUUUUCAUCUUAAUGUAACAUCACAGUGUUUCAUUCAAAGUUACUCCAUAAACAUUUGUGAAAUGGAUGGCUGGAUGGCUGGAUGGCUGGGUGGAUGGACGGACAGAUGGAAGUAGAAAUAUACAGCAUCAGGGUUGGUCCUAAGCAAUCAUUUUCAAAUCAGGACGUGUAUAUCUGGGGGUAUCUCCUUUCUGUCAUCUCCUUCAACUGUUUAGAUGUUGUUGCCUUUCUAAGUUUGGACAUGCUCCAAGCCUUGUUUUUCCUCCUCUUUCUUAUCACAUUUUUCUUCUCUUCAGUUCUUCUAAGUGACUAUCUAGUUUGAUCAGUAAGUAAAAGGGGCUUUAUGUGUCAUGUCUUCAAGAUAGCUUGUAUAUUUUAUCAGAUAAUUUUUUUUCUCAUUGCUUCAUUCCACAGAAGUGACUAAUAUGGGGAUUUCAAGAGAGCUAUUACAAAAAAAAAUUUUUUUUGUAGGAGGCUUUUGGACUUAAAAAAAAAAAAAAACAAAGCCUAUAAAACAUCUGCCUCCUUUACCUGGGGCUAAAGCUGACCCUGAGCAAUACUUUGUUCCAAUAAUAUGAACAGCUACAUAAACUCAUUUUGCAUGAAAAGGUAGGGGGUAAAUAUCGAAAGAAAGAGGCCAUCAGGAAGCCCCUGUGGCAUAUGCUGAGUUACAGUCCAGCAAUAAGAUUAACACAUGCACUUCAGCCUCUCUCCCCAUCCCCAAGGGAAGAGAAGCCUGAGUGUCAACAUGAAAUAUUCAAGUCUCAUAUUUUCCAGGUGUACAAGCCAAAUCUUGCAAUGAUGUUGGCGACUUCUUAGAGUUGCAAAAUAAUGGAGAAAUUUUCAAGUGAAUGAUUCUCUGGAUCUCUUAAGAAUAUUCUUUCUUUCUACAUGUUCUUUCAAACUUGGUAUUUCAACAGCGGUGGAAGGUCAAAGUGGAAUUCAGACAAGUGUCACAUAUUUUGCUGAGGCAACAGGUACGUAAUGAAGGCUUUUGAAAACUGCACAUACAAUGGAUGAAACAAGAAUUGAAUAAAAACUCUGAAGUUUAAUAUUCACUCUGUUGAGGCAUUUUCAGGCAGGUUGGGUAUAUGUCAUUAGCCGUUUUCCAAAUGCCUGGAUAAUGGCUCUUGGUUACUAAAAGAAUAUUAGAAGCACUGUUUGAAAGUGUCCUCAAACUACAGAGGAAGGUGAUAGGGGGUGGGGGAGAGGGUACUGCUGGCAUCGCCUUUUCCCUGUAAGCAAUCCCCACUCAUUGUGGGCACCCCAAAAGAAGUUUGUGAAAGCAUAGGGGAGAAGGGGAAGGGUGAACGGGAAGCACUGAAAGGGAAGGGAAAACUAUCAUAGGGGGUGCAAAAGGAAAAGUCACAGAGGCAAGAAGGAACCUCCAAGAUUGAAUUCUAUAGAUGCAAAGGAGAGAAAUAUUGAUUGGUGGCAGAUAGUACUUGAAGAAAGAUGGAACAGUGUGAGAAAUAAGGAACAGAGUGAGGAUAUAUUAUUUCCCUACUAUAUUGUGGGCAGAGUGGACCAUAGUCUGUUAUACCAUCAACCUUCUAAUAUGGGUAUUUCUGGUCCCCACUUCAUAACAAUUGAGUUAGGGCUAACUGAGGUAAAGCCACAUGUUUCAGGUCAGUGUUAAGUAAAUCAGUUCAGGGUUCCACGGCACACUGUCUGGUUCCAUCGAAUUUUUUUUUUCUGUACCUUCUGCACUUUUUUCUGGAACUUCUGCCUCACAGUGAGGCCUUUGAUUUGGCUCUAACCUGUUUCUUAGUUUCCCAGGUAAAGGUGCAGACUCCAGAGUAGCAUGGUAUGGCCAAGAGAAAGCUGUCAUGGGAGUGGUAGAUCCCUUACUUCUAGUACAAGCCUCGUUACUAAGUAGCUGUGUGAUCUUAACAGCUAGUCUGUUCCUUUCUUCCUCAUCUGUGAAACGAGGGAGUGGGGAUGCAGUGUUGUCUUAAGUAGCUUUUGGCUUCAAUAUUCUGUGGUUCAAUUGAGUUAAAUGAAAGUGAACGUAACCAGAUGAAGGCUGGGCUUCUAGAAGUAAUGCAUUCAUGUACUCCCUAGCAAGUACGGGUUAUUGGAGUCACUGGGAGAAAUGCUUUAAAUUUAUAUUCCAUUUAGAAUAUCUGUUAGUAGAUGUGAAAGAAAUUACAUGAGAAUGUCGAACAAAUAUGAAGUUCAGAAGACAGAUAUUUCAAAACUUUUUGGAAAGAAAUCGAAGAGAAGAAAGAAGGGAAGUCGGUAGGAGAAAGGUUGAAUCAAAAUUUCCCCCCGCCCCCCCUUUGGGGAAACAGCUGCAUUACUGAUGUUCCUUUCCUCAUACCAGAAUUGUGUACUUAUUUCAGAAUAUGGAAGCACUUGUAGCAUUUUCCCUCAUUCUUACUAGUUCCAAAGUGGAUUAUAUCCCUAGCUGGGUUAUUCCAUAUUCUUUAUUUUAAAACUUACUCUAAAUGUCUUAAAUAUUAACAAUUAAUCUAAUCUCUGUAUUUAAUUCAUAGACUUUUAAACUAAAAUAAUACAAGUUAUAAUCACUCUGCCUAAAUUAGACUUUAAAUCUCUAAUGCACUUUUAGAUUUCUAAAUUAUUUUUUAUAUACUAAACUAUUACAUUCUUUCUGCAAUGAGGUAGGUAGGAA